GAGUCCCUGACCACACCGUCACCGGACACCUGUGUGACAUCACCGGACCGCUUGCCAUCACCUCAGCCAAUCCCAGUGGGGAACCCGACAGCACGCACCACGACAUGGUCAUCAGUCGGCUGGGCCAUAAGAUCCAGGGGGUUCUGUGUGACGGGGAUUCCAACGAGGUCGUAGCCUCAACGGUGGUGAACUGCCUCAAGAUAGAUGAAGGUACGAUUAGUAUCGUGAGGGAAGGCUGUGUCCCGGCGGUGAAGGUCCGACAGAUCUUUGAGAGGGUGAAGACCAGCAUGCUGUGAGGAGGACCCCUUCCUCCAUCCCUCCUCCAUCUACCUCUCCUCCCCCCUUUCUCCCCCUCCAUCCACUGUUGACCAAUGAUGACACUCAUAUCAGAUACUGGACCCACCCACCUCAGGCCACCAUCCAAUGAAGUGUGUUCUCUUGAAGAUAACUGUAGAUUACAUUUGAAGAGUAGAAACUUGAGAUGCAUUGUUGCUAUUUUCUGCAAAUGUUAUGAAGCUGAAGUGAGGAGGAGAACGCAGUGAAAACCAA